rnacentral:rRNA from 1 species
GGGGCGGCGUCUUACACAUGCAGUCGAACGAUGAACCGCUUUCGGGCGGGGAUUAGUGGCGAACGGGUGAGUAACACGUGGGCAAUCUGCCCUGCACUCUGGGACAAGCCCUGGAAACGGGGUCUAAUACCGGAUAUGACUGUCCAUCGCAUGGUGGAUGGUGUAAAGCUCCGGCGGUGCAGGAUGAGCCCGCGGCCUAUCAGCUUGUUGGUGAGGUAGUGGCUCACCAAGGCGACGACGGGUAGCCGGCCUGAGAGGGCGACCGGCCACACUGGGACUGAGACACGGCCCAGACUCCUACGGGAGGCAGCAGUGGGGAAUAUUGCACAAUGGGCGAAAGCCUGAUGCAGCGACGCCGCGUGAGGGAUGACGGCCUUCGGGUUGUAAACCUCUUUCAGCAGGGAAGAAGCGAAAGUGACGGUACCUGCAGAAGAAGCGCCGGCUAACUACGUGCCAGCAGCCGCGGUAAUACGUAGGGCGCAAGCGUUGUCCGGAAUUAUUGGGCGUAAAGAGCUCGUAGGCGGCUUGUCACGUCGGUUGUGAAAGCCCGGGGCUUAACCCCGGGUCUGCAGUCGAUACGGGCAGGCUAGAGUUCGGUAGGGGAGAUCGGAAUUCCUGGUGUAGCGGUGAAAUGCGCAGAUAUCAGGAGGAACACCGGUGGCGAAGGCGGAUCUCUGGGCCGAUACUGACGCUGAGGAGCG